rnacentral:piRNA from 1 species
UAAAAGCUGACAGUUGCAAGCACUGU